rnacentral:lncRNA from 1 species
CGAAGACAUCAGGCUGGGCAGAGUUGAGAAAAUGCACAGACACAGAGGGAGUCAUUUUUCAGAGUCUCCAAUUUGGGAAAGGUGUAACUUCUGGGAUCCAGAGGAGAGGAUUUGAGAAGAGUCAGCGCCUGCUGCCCCCCGAGGGGUGCUGGGUGAUUCUCAGUGGAUGGAUGUGGGUCUACGGGAGGACGUGUGCGUCUAUGCCUAGUUCUAUGAACGUGUGAAUGUGUGUGUAUUUCUGCCCCGGUCUGUGUGUUUGUAUGCCGUCUGCACGUAGAGGGGAGGCAGGCUGCUGUGCCCGUCCGUGCGUGUGUCUGUUGUUCCGUCCGUACAUUUCUGUGUGUGGCUCUAUUUAUAUGUGUGUUUCCAUAUGUCUACGUGUGUGAGUGUCUGUGCUAGUGACCCUGUGUGUGUCGGAGUUGGGGGGGGUGGGUAGAUUCGUGUGUGUCUGUGUCUGUGUAUUUGUAUUUGUGCCUGUAUGUGUGUGUGUGUGUGUGUCAGUGUCCGUGAGGGUCUGUGUGUGUGUGUGUGUGCCUGGGUGGGGGAUGGUGUGGUGUGGCCCGCCUCCCACCCCCCCCCCGCCCCCCCGAUGUUUCGGUGGCGCUGAUCUAACUUGUCCUGCAGAACUGGGGAAAUGACAACGUCAGUACGUCUAGCCUUAUCUCCCAGCCUGCCGCUCUGUCAGAGGAAAUGAGGUUUGCUUGGCACAUCUACUCUUUAUGAUGUCAUUUUGGCUGUGAUCUGCGUGUCCUGCUCCCCUAGGUAUUUUUGUCUUUUGAUCGCCUAAUGAAUACCUGCCAACGUAGAGAUGAAGAGAGCAGGCAUUUUGGAGGGGUUUUUUUCAAGAAUUUUUUUUUUUUUUUUUAAAGCAUGUUAGCUGUCCAUCUCUUUGCUGUGGACUUGGAAACCACGGUAAAGGGUUUAGAGCUCUGGCUUCGAAAUGCUAAGACUUCGGCUCAAGUCUUCAGUUGGCCCUUUCAAAAGCUGUGUGACCUUGGAGGGGACACUGUGCGUCUCGGAGCCACAGCUCUUUUCCUGCUAACUUCAGAAAGUUCUUUGGAGGGGCAAAUAUAAUAACAGAAGACUAUGCUCUCAGAAAUCCACACAGUCCUUAGAUGGCAUGAUGUCAAGGCAGAAAGGCCCAGCAAGAGGCCUCUGGGCUCAGAGGUCAGGCAGACUCUGGGUUUGGGUCCUGGCUCCCUUCUUUUCCCAGUGUAUGACAUUGAGCAAGUUAUUAUACCUCUCUGAGCCUCAGAUCGCUUCUGUGAUAAAUAGGAUAGUGCAUCUAAAGCACUCAGCCCACUGCUGGCCACCGUGAGGACCCCCAAAAUGAGAGCUGUCAAUAUUUUUAAUAAUGCAGGAAAGGUGACAGCAGUAGUUAUCAUUUGUCCCCUUUCAGACUUGCAGUGAGUAUAAGCAAGAUAAAGACUUUGGAAGUGCAGGGUGAAAUGGGGAGUGUGAUAGGAGUGAUUUACUAUUAUUUGUUUUUACUAUUUCAAGAUGCAGCAUCGGCAGAGUGUUCUUGGCAUCACCACACUCUUGGCAAGUGCUUCGCGUUUCAUCUAGAACUCAGAGACCGUUCUAGUUGCACAGAAGGCUGAGAACAAGAUGGCCUCCAGCCCAGAGAGGUCUGGGCUGGCUGCCGGGGGCUGACUUCCCCAGGACUCAUCCCCAGCCCUUCCAACUGCACCCCUUCUGGAAGAUUGCCUCACUCCAUCCUCAACACCCCCCUUGCCUUGGAAGAUGCUCUUCCUUCCCCCUGGAAUAUUCCUCAUCACCGUUCUAUGCCCUAGAUCACCUGGGCUGGGAUCCAGGUGCCUCUGCCCGAGCUAACUCCCUGCUCUGUACCCCCAGGGCACCAUGGAUUCGCCCAACCAUGCAUGACAUCCAGGACACUGGAAUGCUCUGCUCUCUGUCUGGCUGCCUCCCAGCCGGUACCCUCCAGGAGGGCAGGGACAGGGACCACGAAACCCUCAGUGGAUGUUUGCAGAGUGGACACAUGGAGAUUGGCUGGCUCCUCUCAUUUUCUGGCCUUACCUCCCUCAGAGGCAAUACCUUCAGAUGGCAAUAUAUUCAUUUCAUCUGGACCCACUUCUGACAGCCAUUUUGUUCAGUAACAGAGAUGAUGGAAUAAUGUCGCCUGUUGAUUAUUUUGGGGGUUUUGGGUUUGCUUUCGAAACCGAUGGGUUUGCUUUUGAAACCGAUGGGUUCAUUUCCUCUGGACUGCUUGUCUCAAAUAAUGGUGCCACGCAGACCAGAGGACAAAAGAUUCCCAAGUGUUUGACCUGCUUCAGCCUGUGUUUUGGGGCUAACAUGUGGGUUUGCUGCAGUGACCAUGGAGCUCUUGCCAGAGCUGGGCUCCCAGGACAGAUGUUGGAAUGCUCUGCAAUUUCAGAUGAGUCUUUUCAUGGUCAGGUGGGCAUCACUCAAGGAGAGAUGUAUAGUCUAUCUGCCUGAUGAGGUGUGAGCCUCACAGUGCGAGCCUUUCUCUCACCUAAUAACCACCUGGCACACCCAGUUGGCAUUCUGGCAUUUGGGCCACCUCAUGGUGCAGAGCAGGGGUCACCAAAUGACACCCCUCAAGCCAAAUCUAGCCCACAACCUGUUUUUGUAAAUAAAGUUUUAUCGGAACACAGCCAUGCCCAUUCAUUUACCAUUCAAGGUCUAUGGCUGCUUUCGAACUAUAAUGGCAUAAUUGAGUAAUUGCGACAGAGACCGUAAGGCUUGCAAGGACUAAAAAAUUUUCUGUCUGGACCUUUAUCGGAACACCAGAUUAAAGAAGAAUCUGGUUGAGCUAAAUCAGUAACCCUGAGCAUCAUCCCAUCUCCUUGCUCUCCCUCAGCCUUGACAUUGGGCUGAUCGCCGAGACCAGAUUACUUUGCCCCACUAUACCAUACAUUUUCCACCCAUCUCUUCCUCAAGUGCCACUGCCUUGGCUUAACUCUGUCCCCACCCCUCUUGACUGUCACCAGGGCCACCAUGAGCCUAUAAGGUGUCUGGGUGAAUUAGAUAAAGAUGUCUUCUCUGGGUAGCUGCAGCUCUAUGAUACGCAUGGUGAGCAAUAGGAGUGCUUCUGUGCAGGGAAAAAGCCACCUAAGCCUAUUGAUUAUACCUAAUCAAUUACAGCUCUCAUACCUACUGAUUAUAUCUAUUGAUUAUACAUUCUCCUCACCUCCUUAUCCAGGUAGCCCUUCGCACUAGAGCUAGAGUGAUCCUUCUAGCAAGCUGCGUUCCUCGCCUGCUCAACCCCUCCAUACCACUCCCCACCCCCAUCCUCACGGCAGAGCCCGUGUGCAUGACAU